rnacentral:rRNA from 1 species
CCUACGGGUGGCAGCAGUGAGGAAUAUUGGACAAUGGACGGAAGUCUGAACCAGCCACGCCGCGUGCAGGAAGACGGCUCUAUGAGUUGUAAACUGCUUUUUUACAAGGGUAAACCUGAAUACGUGUAUUCAGCUGAAAGUACUGUACGAAUAAGGAUCGGCGAACUCCGUGGCAGCAGCCGCGGUAAUACGGAGGGUCCGAGCGUUAUAGGGAUUUAGUGGGUUUAAAGGGCUCGUAGGCGGAGCGUAAAGUCAGUGGUCAAAUUGAGGUGCUCAACCCCUUACCGCCAGUGAAACUGGCGCGCUUGAGUGGAAGAGAAGUAUGUGGAAUGCGUGGUGUAGGGGUGAAAUGCAUAGAUAUCACGCAGAACCCCGAUUGCGAAGGCAGCAUGCCGGCUUCCGACUGACGCUGAAGCACGAAAGCGUGGGGAGCGAACAGGAUUAGAUACCCUGGUAGUC